CAGUCGCCGCGGUAAUACGUAGGGUGCAAGCGUUAAUCGGAAUUACUGGGCGUAAGGCGUGCGCAGGCGGUUUGUUAAAACAGAUGUGAAAUCCCCGGGCUCAACCUGGGAACUGCAUUUGUGACUGGCAAGCUAGAGUGUGGCAGAGGGGGGUGGAAUUCCGCGUGUAGCAGUGAAAUGCGUAGAUAUGCGGAGGAACACCGAUGGCGAAGGCAGCCCCCUGGGCCAACACUGACGCUCAUGCACGAAAGCGUGGGGAGCGAACAGGAUUAGAUACCCCAGUAGUCCCUGUCUCUUAUAU
rnacentral:rRNA from 1 species